rnacentral:rRNA from 1 species
GAUGAACGCUGGCGGCGUGCCUAAUACAUGCAAGUCGAGCGAACAGACGAGGAGCUUGCUCCUCUGACGUUAGCGGCGGACGGGUGAGUAACACGUGGAUAACCUACCUAUAAGACUGGGAUAACUUCGGGAAACCGGAGCUAAUACCGGAUAAUAUAUUGAACCGCAUGGUUCAAUAGUGAAAGACGGCUUUGCUGUCACUUAUAGAUGGAUCUGCGCCGCAUUAGCUAGUUGGUAAGGUAACGGCUUACCAAGGCAACGAUGCGUAGCCGACCUGAGAGGGGGAUCGGCCACACUGGAACUGAGACACGGUCCAGACUCCUACGGGAGGCAGCAGUAGGGAAUCUUCCGCAAUGGGCGAAAGCCUGACGGAGCAACGCCGCGUGAGUGAUGAAGGUCUUCGGAUCGUAAAACUCUGUUAUUAGUGAAGAACAAAUGUGUAAGUAACUAUGCACGUCGUGACGGUACCUAAUCAGAAAGCCACGGCUAACUACGUG